rnacentral:misc_RNA from 1 species
UCUCCGUAGGUGAACCUGCGGAGGGAUCAUUACAGAGUUCAUGCCCUACCGGGUAGAUCUCCCACCCUAUGUUAUUAUUACUUUGUUGCUUUGGCGGGCCGUUAGGCUCCGGCCCGACUACCGGCCCCGGCUGGUAAGCGCCCGCCAGAGGACCCAAAACCCUGAAUAUUAGUGUCGUCUGAGUACUAUAUAAUAGUUAAAACUUUCAACAACGGAUCUUUUGGUUCUG